rnacentral:rRNA from 1 species
GAUGAACGCUGGCGGCGUGCUUAACACAUGCAAGUCGAACGAAGCACUUUAUUUGAUUUCCUUCGGGACUGAUUAUUUUGUGACUGAGUGGCGGACGGGUGAGUAACGCGUGGGUAACCUGCCUUUUACAGGGGGAUAACAGUUGUAAACGGCUGCUAAUACCGCAUAAGCGCACAGCAUCGCAUGAUGCAGUGUGAAAAACUCCGGUGGUAUAAGAUGGACCCGCGUUGGAUUAGCUAGUUGGUGAGGUAACGGCCCACCAAGGCGACGAUCCAUAGCCGACCUGAGAGUGUGACCGGCCACAUUGGGACUGAGACACGGCCCAAACUCCUACGGGAGGCAGCAGUGGGGAAUAUUGCACAAUGGGCGAAAGCCUGAUGCAGCGACGCCGCGUGAGCGAAGAAGUAUUUCGGUAUGUAAAGCUCUAUCAGCAGGGAAGAUAAUGACGGUACCUGACUAAGAAGCACCGGCUAAAUACGUG